AUAACUGCCUUUGUAACAGAGGGCAAUGACACCACCGACUCUCUACCCUUUUAAAAAAUAAAAGGAAGAAAAUAAACUACGCUUUUGGUCCUAUUGCCUCUAGGUCAGCUACAGGUCUCUACAAACUAUCAGGAAGUUACUCGGAGGAGACACUUCAAUGCCUAUAAUGCUGGUGCCAUCAGAAUUUCUUUGUAGAUGCAGGUGCUGGCCAGCCAACCUGAAAUUAAAUCCCACUGUGAUGUUCUUUUUCCUAUUCUACUGAAACAAAUGGGGUAGCGGUUCACUGCUGACUCCUUCUCAAAGUGUGGUCUGUGACAGCGAUCUUGGAAACGGGUCUGCGAGGUGAGCUCUCCCGUUCCUGCUCUGAAGUGCUCUAGCAGAUUAAAAACAGUGGGAUGGAGAAGGAGAGGUUGCUGAGCAGUUAAUGGCACUAGAAUGGGGAGAUUGCAUGUUGUGAUGAACACUGGCAUAGUUUGUGACCUUGCCUGGUGCAUGCGGUGCUGAUUAUACCAAAGGAUCAAGCAGAUGUGAAGGAAAAUUGAGUUUCAUCUCCUCCCAGCUAUCACAGGCCCUCUUUGACAGUUGGAGUCAAUGGUAAAACAGCAAGCACAGAGCGAGUUCAUCCAGCCCCGUGACACACCGACUGAGGACAAAGACCUACUUCCAACACACUGAUGUCUACUGAACUUUUGGCUUCCUGGCGUGCCUUGUCUUCCUAGAGGCAACAUGCACAGAGCUGGGCAAAGGAUCAUUAUCUUAUGAAACAACAGAGGAGCAUGAAACAGUCCAAUGGAAGAAGAGAAAUAUGGAAGAAAAGGGGAACAUAUGAGUUUGGGUGCUGCCUGAAAACAUGUCUUCGUUACCCUUUAUAUGGCACAUCCCAUAAAUAAAGCUGGGAUAACCAUGAAUCCUGCACCACCAUUGACCUUUCACCAUUACAUCUUCGAAGGAAGUGGAGAAUGGGACUUUAAGCACCAUCUGGCUGAGUAUCUCCUCUUUGUACUCACCCCACCAUUCCCAGAGCUGGAAACUGCCACAAGCUGCCAGAAUCCAGUACCUUCUAUCACCGCGGCAGCCAAGCACACUAGGUUUGGGACUUAACAAAAGAACUCCUGUGUUUUGGAUUGCACCAACUUGGCCCCGGUCAAACACUGACUGAAGCUGUGGUCACUGGUAGCCAUCUAGUCUUUGUGCUUGCUGUUGCUAAGUUCAAUCUCCAAAAGUAAGUUUUCCGGCUGCCUCCUAGGGCUGGAAUGCCUGCCUGUGUCAGGAUGCCUGCUGCCCAUCGUCCCUCUUCAGGCAACACCACUGCUCCAGCAGCUCCAUCCUGUGGUGACCCACAGCCUCUGAGAUAUAAUAGAUGAUACUUGCUUCGGUCAGGGCUCGAAACCAAAUCUGCACCUGCAGUGCCUGCAUCACAUGAAGGCUGGUUUUAAUGCCAGUUUGACCAAACAUAAAUACCUCUGUAAUAAACAAAAAUACACCCAAUAUAAAUAAGCCAUUCCAAGAGGACAAAAACUGUUCCUGAGUAAGCUCAGUGUUCACUUUUGCUCAUCCAGGAUUCAGGACAGUAUUGCAACAGGGAACAAGGAUGUGCAGUGUAUUUUAACCUCCUAGAUUUGCAGCACCCAGCUUCUGACCUCACAUUUACCAGCCUGGUUGAAAUUACAACCUGUUGCUAAGGAAAAUUUCGUCAUACCUUAAAGUAACUGCGAUAUCAAGUAGCUUUGAGAUACCUGACGAAUGUAUUACAGUAGAUUAAAGAGAAGCCACUUCAGAAAAUCUGCAAAAGACACCCUAACAAGUUACAAUAUGAUAAUACAUUUCUUUUAAUUCUGUACUGAAGAAAGUGGGAGCCUGUUUUGUGGGGUGUUUGUUUGUUUGUUUGUUUUUUUCCCCAAGAGGAAGAGAAAUCCUUUCUACAAAUCAGUGUGCACACUCUUGUUUCUGAUGGGAAAUGCUGCCCUGAAAAGCACUGAAUUUCAAAGCUCCUUGAGAUUAGAUUGUCUGCAGAAUUGUGCUGAUGGCUGUAAAUAUUAAUAAAUAAGAAACACUGGG